rnacentral:rRNA from 1 species
UGCAGUCGUACGCUUCUUUUUCCACCGGAGCUUGCUCCACCGGAAAAAGAAGAGUGGCGAACGGGUGAGUAACACGUGGGUAACCUGCCCAUCAGAAGGGGAUAACACUUGGAAACAGGUGCUAAUACCGUAUAACAAUCGAAACCGCAUGGUUUUGAUUUGAAAGGCGCUUUCGGGUGUCGCUGAUGGAUGGACCCGCGGUGCAUUAGCUAGUUGGUGAGGUAACGGCUCACCAAGGCCACGAUGCAUAGCCGACCUGAGAGGGUGAUCGGCCACAUUGGGACUGAGACACGGCCCAAACUCCUACGGGAGGCAGCAGUAGGGAAUCUUCGGCAAUGGACGAAAGUCUGACCGAGCAACGCCGCGUGAGUGAAGAAGGUUUUCGGAUCGUAAAACUCUGUUGUUAGAGAAGAACAAGGAUGAGAGUAACUGUUCAUCCCUUGACGGUAUCUAACCAGAAAGCCACGGCUAACUACGUGCCAGCAGCCGCGGUAAUACGUAGGUGGCAAGCGUUGUCCGGAUUUAUUGGGCGUAAAGCGAGCGCAGGCGGUUUCUUAAGUCUGAUGUGAAAGCCCCCGGCUCAACCGGGGAGGGUCAUUGGAAACUGGGAGACUUGAGUGCAGAAGAGGAGAGUGGAAUUCCAUGUGUAGCGGUGAAAUGCGUAGAUAUAUGGAGGAACACCAGUGGCGAAGGCGGCUCUCUGGUCUGUAACUGACGCUGAGGCUCGAAAGCGUGGGGAGCAAACAGGAUUAGAUACCCUGGUAGUCCACGCCGUAAACGAUGAGUGCUAAGUGUUGGAGGGUUUCCGCCCUUCAGUGCUGCAGCUAACGCAUUAAGCACUCCGCCUGGGGAGUACGACCGCAAGGUUGAAACUCAAAGGAAUUGACNGGGGCCCGCACAAGCGGUGGAGCAUGUGGUUUAAUUCGAAGCAACGCGAAGAACCUUACCAGGUCUUGACAUCCUUUGACCACUCUAGAGAUAGAGCUUNCCCUUCGGGGGCAAAGUGACAGGUGGNNGCAUGGNUGUCGUCAGCUCNUGUCGUGAGANNNUGGGNUAAGUCCCNNACGAGCGCACCCNNNNNNGUUGCCAUCNUNANNNGGCACUCUAGCAGACU